UUGAACGCUGGCGGCAGGCCUAACACAUGCAAGUCGAGCGGACGAAGGGAGCUUGCUCCUGGAUUCAGCGGCGGACGGGUGAGUAAUGCCUAGGAAUCUGCCUGGUAGUGGGGGAUAACGUCCGGAAACGGGCGCUAAUACCGCAUACGUCCUGAGGGAGAAAGUGGGGGAUCUUCGGACCUCACGCUAUCAGAUGAGCCUAGGUCGGAUUAGCUAGUUGGUGGGGUAAAGGCCUACCAAGGCGACGAUCCGUAACUGGUCUGAGAGGAUGAUCAGUCACACUGGAACUGAGACACGGUCCAGACUCCUACGGGAGGCAGCAGUGGGGAAUAUUGGACAAUGGGCGAAAGCCUGAUCCAGCCAUGCCGCGUGUGUGAAGAAGGUCUUCGGAUUGUAAAGCACUUUAAGUUGGGAGGAAGGGCGGUAAGUUAAUACCUUGCUGUUUUGACGUUACCAACAGAAUAAGCACCGGCUAACUUCGUG
rnacentral:rRNA from 1 species